UCGACCUGUAUUGUUUUACUUUGCUAUUCAUGUUCUCAUUUAAAAAAAGUCAGAGACACCUUCAAGAGCUGAAUAUAUGUGCCUAGCCUAUAUCAUAGAGUGGCCAAGCUAAGGAGAAAUAUAGGCCUAUCCUAUUUUUUUCUCUUUGUUGGCUGUGAUCAAUCAUGUUCGCGUGUAAAGACGACUGGAACUUGUCUUUCGCGGGUUGUGGGUUUCUGGGGGUCUACCACAUAGGGGUGGCCAGCUGUCUCCUGGAACAAGCCCCGGAGCUUGUCCACGGCUCUGUCAGACUCUAUGGAGCCUCCGCGGGAGCGCUGACCGCAGCUGUGCUCGCGAGCCGUGCUUCUAUUGCUAAGUGCUGUGAGGAGGUGAUUAGUUUGGCUCAGGAGGCCAGGAGUCGUAACCUGGGGCCGCUGCAUCCGUCCUUCAACGUGGUGAAGGUCAUCCGCUCCGGCCUGCAGCGGAACCUCCCUGACGACGCACACACACGCGCGUCUGGCCGGCUGUGUGUGUCUCUCACACGCGUGUCGGACGGAAAGAACAUCCUUGUGUCUGACUUUAAUUCCAAAGAGGAGCUUAUCCAGGCCCUCAUAUGUAGCUGUUUUAUCCCUGUCUACUGUGGAUUGUUUCCGCCCAGCUUCCGUGGUGUGCGGUAUGUGGAUGGGGGCAUUAGUGAUAACUUGCCCCAGGCAGGGCAAAAGAAAACCAUCAGCAUCUCUCCCUUCUCUGGCGAGAGCGACAUCUGCCCCAGAGACAGCUCCACCAGUUUCCAUGAGCUGCGCCUCACCAACACCAGCAUCCAGAUGAACCUGGACAACAUGUUCCGCCUCAGCAGGGCCCUGUUCCCCCCAGAACCCACAGUCUUGGCAGAGAUGUGUCAGAAUGGUUAUAAGGACGCUAUGCGCUUCCUGCAGGAGAACAAUCUACUGCGACGGGAUUGGCCCUCUGCUGGCCCCGCCCCCGCCGAUGACCCGUCAUCCUGGUGCUGCUCCUGCUCAGCUCAGAAGAACUCUGUUGUCACGGAAACAACAAAAGAGUGGAUUCUACGGCGGCUCCGUCUCAAGAGGACAAGGCCCCAGUGUCCCAAGGAAGAGAAAGUAGCCAACCUGCCCCCACCCAUCCGGAAAGUGUUCUGUGAUGCAUGCAGAGGAAGGCGGGGUUUGUAUGCGCAGAUGUCCGACCUGCUGCCCCUGCGGAUGGCCUCCUACAUGCUGCUGCCCUGCACACUGCCCAUCCAGUCUGCGUACUCAGCAGCCCAGAGGUUAGUGCACACUGCCCAUCCAGUCUGCGUACUCAGCAGCCCAGAGGUUAGUGCACACUGCCCAUCCAGUCUGCGUACUCAGCAGCCCAGAGGUUAGUACACACUGCCCAUCCAGUCUGCGUACUCAGCAGCCCAGAGGUUAGUACACUAUCCAGUCUGCGUACUCAGCAGCCCAGAGGUUAGUACACACUGCUCAUCCAGUCUGUGUACCCAGCAGCCCAGAGGUUAGUACACUAUCCAGCAGCACAGAGGUUAGUACACACUGCUCAUCCAGUCUGUGUAUUCAGCAGCACAGAGGUUAGUACACACUGCCCAUCCAGUCUGUGUAUUCAGCAGCACAGAGGUUAGUACACACUGCCCAUCCAGUCUGUGUAUUCAGCAGCACAGAGGUUAGUACACACUGCCCAUCCCAUCCAUAGUGUUCUAUUGCACUAUCCUAUCCCACCCAUAGUGUUAUAUUGCACUACCCUAUCCCAUCCGUAGUGUUCUAUUGCACUACCCUAUCCCACCCAUAGUGUUCUAUUGCACCCUAUCCCAUCAAUAGUGUUCUAUUGCACUACCCUAUCCCACCGAUAGUGUUCUAUUGCAAAACGCCUCCUUGAGGGUGUGUGUGUGUGUGUGUGAUGUCAUGUCUCAUAUGUAUAUAUAUGUAUAUGCGUGUGUGUGUGUGUGUAUGUUUCUAUUUGCUGUUGGUACUCUAAAACGCUUCCCUGAGGGUGAGUGUGUGUGUGUGAUGUCUCAUAUGUAUGUGUGAGUGUGUGUGUGUGUGUAUGUUUCUAUUUGCUGUUGGUACUCUAAAAUGCCUCCCUGAGUGUAGGAGUUCAAAUUCACUGUGUGCACUGCAAAAAAUAAGUGUUAUUAUUAAUGUUAUAUUAAGAUAAAAAAAUCUAUUUGGUAUUGGCUUUUAGUAUGAAGCAAUUUACCUAGCACUCUGUUGAAUGAUCAUUUUGACUUUUUGUUACAGGAAGCAAUUGAGGGAAACAGGUAGACUGACGGUCUAAGCUGCAAACACGUGAUUUAUCCUCCUGUACUCCUGUUUCUUCACAAUUACUGGGUUGAACACACACACACCUUAGACUACAAACACGUGAUUUAUACGGUUUCUUCACAAUUACUGGGUUGAACACACACACACAGCCUAGACUACAAACACGUGAUUUAUACGGUUUCUUCACAAUUACUGGGUUGAACACACACACAGUGGUGUCAUGUAAGGACCCUGAUCAUGUUGCACAGCACUUGUCAUGAUAUUUAGUCUGUUAGGAGGCACAAAGGCACCGUUUAGUACAUGCCCUCAUAGCACAGCUUUAGUACAUGUCCCCAUAGCACCGCUUUAGUACAUGCCCUCAUAGCACAGCUUUAGUACAUGCCCUCAUAGCACAGCUUUAGUACAUGUCCCCAUAGCACAGCUUUAGUACAUGCCCUCAUAGCACCAUGUAGUACAUGCCCUCAUAGCACAGCUUUAGUACAUGCCCUCAUAGCACCGCUUAGUACAUGUCCCCAUAGCACAGCUUUAGUACAUGCCCCCAUAGCACCAUUUAGUACAUGCCCUCAUAGCACAGCUUUAGUACAUGUCCCCAUAGCACAGCUUUAGUACAUGCCCUCAUAGCACAGCUUUAGUACAUGUCCCCAUAGCACAGCUUUAGUACAUGCCCUCAUAGCACCAUUUAGUACAUGUCCUCAUAGCACCAUUUAGUACAUGCCCUCAUAGCACCAUUUAGUACAUGCCCUCAUAGCACCAUUUAGUACAUGCCCUCAUAGCACAGCUUUAGUACAUGCCCUCAUAGC